rnacentral:rRNA from 1 species
GAUGAACGCUGGCGGCGUGCCUAAUACAUGCAAGUCGAGCGAACAGACGAGGAGCUUGCUCCUCUGACGUUAGCGGCGGACGGGUGAGUAACACGUGGAUAACCUACCUAUAAGACUGGGAUAACUUCGGGAAACCGGAGCUAAUACCGGAUAAUAUAUUGAACCGCAUGGUUCAAUAGUGAAAGACGGUUUUGCUGUCACUUAUAGAUGGAUCCGCGCCGCAUUAGCUAGUUGGUAAGGUAUCGGCUUACCAAGGCAACGAUGCGUAGCCGACCUGAGAGGGUGAUCGGCCACACUGGAACUGAGACGCGGUCCAGACUCCUACGGGAGGCAGCAGUAGGGAAUCUUCCGCAAUGGGCGAAAGCCUGACGGAGCAACGCCGCGUGAGUGAUGAAGGUCUUCGGAUCGUAAAACUCUGUUAUUAGGGAAGAACAAAUGUGUAAGUAACUAUGCACGUCUUGACGGUACCUAAUCAGAAAGCCACGGCUAACUACGUG